rnacentral:rRNA from 1 species
UAAAAGAAACUAACAAGGAUUCCCCUAGUAGCGGCGAGCGAAGCGGGAAGAGCUCAAAUUUAUAAUCUGGCACCUUCGGUGUCCGAGUUGUAAUCUCUAGAAGUGUUUUCCGCGUUGGACCGCACACAAGUCUGUUGGAAUACAGCGGCAUAGUGGUGAGACCCCCGUAUAUGGUGCGGACGCCCAACGCUUUGUGAUACACUUUCGAAGAGUCGAGUUGUUUGGGAAUGCAGCUCAAAUUGGGUGGUAAAUUCCAUCUAAAGCUAAAUAUUGGCGAGAGACCGAUAGCGAACAAGUACCGUGAGGGAAAGAUGAAAAGCACUUUGGAAAGAGAGUUAACAGUACGUGAAAUUGUUGGAAGGGAAACGCUUGAAGUCAGACUUGCUUGCCGAGCAAUCGGUUUGCAGGCCAGCAUCAGUUUUCCGGGGUGGAUAAUGGUAGAGAGAAGGUAGCAGUUUCGGCUGUGUUAUAGCUCUCUGCUGGAUACACCUUGGGGGACUGAGGAACGCAGUGUGCCUUACGGCGGAUUUCUCGAGAUCUUCACACUUAGGAUGCUGGUGGAAUGGCUUUAAAC